AUUGAACGCUGGCGGCAGGCCUAACACAUGCAAGUCGAGCGAGCGGCGGACGGGUGAGUAAUGUAUGGGGACUGCCCGAUAGAGGGGGAUAACUACUGGAAACGGUAGCUAAUACCGCAUACUAUCGGAUAACCCAUAUGGUCUUAGCUAGUUGGUGAGGUAAUGGCUCACCCAGGCAACGAUCCCUAGCGGGUCUGAGAGGCUGAUCAGCCACACUGGAACUGAGACACGGCCCAGACUCCUACGGAGGCAGCAGUGGGGAAUAGUGCACAAUGGGCGCAAGCCUGAUGCAGCCAUGCCGCGUGUAUGAAGAAGGCCUUAGGGUUGUAAAGUACUUUCAGUCGGGAGGCGUUACCGACAGAAGAAGCCCCGGCUAACUCCGUGCCAGCAGCCGCGGUAAUUC
rnacentral:rRNA from 1 species